rnacentral:lncRNA from 1 species
CUUGAGGUUAUGUUUAAAGACUACUUGAUAUGUGCUCGAGAAUGUUCUGAGCAAAUCGAUCAUCAAAUUUUCAUAUGAGAUAUGGUCUUGGGUAAUUCUAUGCUCUCUUACCUUAGGAUUUGGAGUAUCAAACUUAUGUGAAAUGUUCACAAACUGAUUAGCUUGAAUCUUGAUCUAAUAAAUAUUAUUUUAGAGAUAUUCCUUCUAUCUUCCAAAUGGA